UUUGUAGUUCUCCUUCAAGAGGUCCUUCACAUCCCUUGUAAGUUGGAUUCCUAGGUAUUUUAUUCUCUUUGAAGUGAUUGUAUACACAUAAACUUAUGGACACAUGAGUGAUAGUCAAAUUUCAAUCACUAAUGUGGCAUGAGCACUGACCCACCAGAAUGGCCAUGGUAAUUCACCAUGGAGCAGUAUUGCAUCAUCCUGAGUGAGAGUGAAGAAGAAUUGAGGUAGAGGGAAACUGAUAGAUGUGUUUGAGAUUUUAAAAUUAUUUCUCAAACUUUUACACCAAAAUAUAUCCUGGUACAUGUGCAACUUCUAUGGCUCUGUCAGACUCAUUUAAUAGGAAACUACCCACAGAAGAAAAUAAGGAAAACGAAUUCUGUAGGUAGAGAAAUGUAAUGACUAAGAUUUUAAAUGUUAUGACUAAGAUACAUGUUUAGUUGAUAAAAAUUAAUAAAAAUAAGAAACUUUCCUUCCUAGGGCAGCAUAAGAUCAUUUCAGAAUGAAGAUGCUUUGGGAUCUGACUUCGGACUGUAAGAAUGACAAACUCUGAAUGGGUGCAAAGGUAGCAGAUGACCUUCAAAGGAUGGUGAGAUUAAAUUUACCUACACCUAGAGAAAUAAUUGGAGCACAUGUCUAUUUGGGCCAAGAGGAUAAAGGCCAGUAGAGGAAUCAGAUCAAAGAACUUCCUCAGGGAAGUGUGCAGAGAACUGGAGUGGACCUUCCCCUAGGAAGCUGCCCAAAACGAGAGUGCUGGAAAGCUGGCCGCAGUGAGGCACUUCAGAUCCCAAGGGUAUGCUGGGGAAGCUGCCACAGGUGGGAGCACUUGCUGCUGGACCCUAGGCACUGUUGAAACAACUGCACCAUCUGCAGGAGCCCAGCAAGAAAGAACUUGUUUGCAUCCCUGCUAGACAAAAACCUACAAGUUAACCUUUGCCCGUAUGGAGUUGUAAAACAGACCAGUUGAUAGAAAGAGAAGCCUGCUUCCCGAAGCCCUCAGCAGAAGCCGAGCAGAUGUUGGCACCAUGCUUCUUGUACAGCCUGCAGAACUUGAAGAAACACUCCAUAUUAGUUUUCUGGAGCCAUCGUUAUGAAGCAACACAGACUGGGUGGCAUAAACAAUGGAGAUUUAUUUUUUCACAAUUCCGGAGGCUAGAAGUUUGAGAUCAAGGUGUUGGAAAGUGUCUCAGGAUGAUACAUACCGGUUUUUAACUUUGGUGUCAUCAAAUGCAAUUGCAAUGUGACUGUUUCUUGAAAGCCCGAACUGCUUGCUCCCUAUCAAAAGAGCUGGUUCUGAUUCUGCAGCACAAGGACCCUGUAAAAUACCCAGGAGAGAAAAACAGGAGAUUAUGGACUGUUCUUUAAAAAGUGCAAGGAGCACAUUGCUCAACCAAUUCCAUCGUGGACACUAAGGAAGAGAAUGAGAUAUUCAAGAGUUUUCAAGAUCUGCACUCAAGACAACAUUGCCCACCCAUUACUGGUAUGGAAUAUAACCACAACACAUGAGCUGUAAAGAGUGUAGUGACUGUGACCAUCUUUGUUGUAUUGGUGAUAAGAAUGUAAAUUGGCAUAGCCUGUGGAAGAAACAAUUCAGGUAUGUGUAUUGAAAACCUUAGACAUAUUCAUCUUUUGGCCUUAUAAUUUCCUAACUACUUAUCUAUUUUAAGAAUAACUGGAAAUAAUGAAAAAGCUUGAUGCAUAGAGGAGCUCAUCAGAGUAUAGUUUCUAAUAGUGAAAAACUGGAAACACUCUCAAUAGCCUACCAUGGUCUAUUAAAAGUAGAAUAAAUUGGAAAGGCAGAGUGUUCCAGAGAUAAGGAGUCAGACUUUGGAGUCUGACUCGCUAGAAUAAAAUUCUUACUCUGCCUUUUACUAGUGGUGUGAGUGGGUUGGUUGCUUAAGAUAGCUAAUUCUUAUUAACUCGACUAAAAGUAGAAAGACUAUAUUUUACAGAGCCGUUAUGAGAAUUACAUAUAAUAUUGAAUGAAAAUUGUUUAGCCCUGGGCUGGUGAAAGUACUCAUUAUUAUCAUUACUACAUAGUACUUAUGCCAUUUAUUAAACGUUCAGUAUAUGUGAGUCAUUGAACAAACAUUAUCUUUUAAAACUCUGAUACAAAGUCUUUGAUGUCUGUGCUGUUAAUAUCCUCAUUUGACAGAUGAGGAAACAGAAAUAGUCUAUGGCCAAAUCACCCUGAAAGCAUCCGAUCUUUUCUGAUCUCAAAAGCUAAGCAGGGUUGGGCCCGGUUAGUACUUGGAUGGGAAACUGAGAAAUAGAUUGGACAGGUAGCUUUCCCAAAUUCACACAGAUGGUCGGUUACAGUGCUGGGAUUUGAAUACCAGCAGUCUGACUUGAGCCCAUGCUCUAAUCAAGGCUAUAUGACCUCCAAUACUAUAAAAUAGUUGUGUGUCUCUGUGUGUAUAUAUACUUAACAUAAAAUCAUAUUAGACAUACACAUUUAUAUGAUGUUUAGAUACAGUUUUUAUUUAUUUAUUUAUUUUUAUUUUUUGGAGAUGGAGUCUCGCUCUGUUGCCCA
rnacentral:lncRNA from 1 species